GUGCAGCGUUUUUUUAUUUCCUCUCGCCUGAACUUUUAUUAAAAACAUGGAGGAUUAAAUAUGUAAAAUAAAACAGUUUUCUAAACUGGACUUUCAAUCGAAGCAGGCGGUAAUAAUUAGAGGUAGACCGACGCCGGAGCUAAAAGGUUUGCUUUUGACUUCGGGAAGGAAGACCCGUUCUUUUCAAAUGGCGUGGUACACACGCAAAGGCUGGAUGUCCAGCAAGAAAGGCUAUCCACGCUGGAGCCCACUCCAGUGUAUCUGUUCAGCCCCUCUACCGACACAUCACGGCAUACUAUGGCAUCGUGGGAAGACACAAGUGACCCGCUACAUGCAGAGGUGGAGGACCCCAGAGGAAGGCGUGAGCAGGCCUGUAGUGCUGGCGGGCGUAGCGCAGCAGGCGUCUACGGGUGGCCGGCAGGCGAAUGGUGUAUACAAAGUAUUCCAGGAUGCUGUGUUGCAUGUUGGGAAGGGUGUUGUGAUGCAGUGACUCCUCCAGGAACAAGCGAACCAGUGGAGCUUUGAAGGCCUCAUACCCGAGUUCGCCGAGGGACUUCAGGAUGCGAGUGAUGCGCAGCACAGAUUGGCCGGCAGGGCGGACAGCAGCGGCCAGUGAUUGCGGCACAUCAACGGUACAAGAGACGGUGCAAGAAGGGCCCGACUUUGUGUCACAUACGGCUACUACGGCAAGUAGCUCUCCUUGUUGUAAAUACUUGAGUAAUCAAACAAGAGUCACAGAGUCUUUCACAUCCUUUUUGAUAUGCAGGCAUGUUCAAAUUUAAAAGGUUUCAAACCAAAUAUUACACAAUUUUUACAUGCAUCUCUAAGCUGGCCGUGAGCAGGCUAUUGUAUGAACACCUGGCCACCACAGUCCUGUGCUCUCUCGUAGUAGUUGUGUUUUUCUUUGUUUCUUGCAUUGAACAAAAGCAGUCUACCAAGUAAAAGU